UUUUCAUUCUGGUUUUCUACAUCAAACUUGAGGUGCGGAAAUUCACUCUUCAUUGUAUUAAUUACGAAUUUGUUACCUUAUGGAACAUGCAUUUUGUGGUCAUGACUCUAAGAGGUCCUUUGGCAACGGUCCCCGUACCCCCCCCCCCUUUUUUUUUUUUUUUUUUUCGUGGAGGAGCUGAGCACCCAGCGCGUCCCCCCCCAUGUCCCCUCAGCCCCCCCAUGUCCCCAAUGACCCCCCAUGCCCCCCCAAUGCCCCGAUAGCCCCCCCAUGACCCCCCAAUGUCCCUAUAACCCCGCCGUGUCCCCAUAGCCCCCCCAUGUCCCCCCAUGUCCCUAUAGCCCCCCCGUGUCCCUAUAACCCCCCCGUCCCCGUACCUCCCAGCUGUGCCGCCGAGGUGGGCGCAGGAGGAGGCGCGGGCGUGACGUCGGGGAUGCAGGCGGCGUCCUCCGAGGCUGCAGGUUUUGGGGACAAUUUUGGGGCUGAAUGUGGCAAUUUUAGGGCCGAACGCAGCAAUUUCAGGGCUGAACGCGGGAGUUUUGGGGUCAAAUGUGAUGGUUUUGGGGCCCAACACAGCAAUUUUGGGGCUGAAUGCAGCAGAUUUGGGGCCCAACGUGGUGAUUUUGGGGGCGCAACGCAGUGAUUUUUGGGGCCAAACAGGGCAUUUUCGGGGCCAAAAGUGGCGAUUUUGGGGUUGAACGCGAUGGUUUCAGAGCCAAAUAUGACAAUUUUGGGGCCCAAUGCGGUGAUUUUGGGGCCAAACAGGGCAUUUUCGGCACCAAACGCGGCGAUUUCGGGGUUGAACGCGGCAGUUUCGGGGCCAAACACGCCAAUUUUGGGUCCAAACACGGCGAUUUCCUCCCCGGCCUCGCACCAUUCACCACGAUCUCGGCGCUGAGCUCCGACACCUGCCAGGCGCUGCCGUUGUAGCUCCGGUACCGGCACCGGUAGCACCGGGCCCCCUCCGCGGCCUCGUUUAGGACAAAAUCCACCUUAUUUUGGCCCGGGGGGGCCGUGAGGCUCUGCACCGGCCCCGUGGUGCCCGCGCCGAGGAGCUCGAAGGUGCUGCCGGCGAAGCGCCGCGGGGCGAAGCAGCUGAUCCGCGCCGCGCCGGAGACGAGGCCGAGCGGGGCCGGGGCGAGCUGGGGGGCUGCCACGGCUCCUGGGGGGGCAGCGGGAUGGUUCAGGGGGCUCCCAGCCCGGCCCUGGGCUUUUUAUUUUUUUGGGGAGGGGGCUAUGGGGGCGACGUACCUGCCACCAGGAGGAGAAGCUUCAGCCUCAUCCUCAUCCUCCUCCCGCGGGGAGCAGGGGGGGGUUUUGCUCAAGGGCGAGUUUCAUCACUCAGGAAGGAAAUGACAGAGCAGGGAUUGGGCUUCGGCUUCGCCCCGUUGCACAAAGAGGCGUUUUUUUGACCCAAAUCCACCCCCCCCAAAAAAAAAAGAUAUUUUUCCACCCCAAAAGCCCCAAAAUCUCGGCCACAUCCUGCACACAACGGGGUCACCGCGUGUGGUAUCGCCGGGCUCGCUUCCGAAUUAUCGCAGCAGGGACGCGGGGGAGAAAACCCCCAAAUCCCCUCCUGGGCCCCCAAAACCUGCUCCAGCCCCCCCCCAGCUGCCC
ensembl:lncRNA